rnacentral:misc_RNA from 1 species
CUGAGUUAUCACAACUCCAAACCCAUGUGAACUUACCAUUGUUGCCUCGGCGGGAAGACCUACCCGGGACCUACCCGGUAGCUACCCUGUAGCGCAGGUCACCUCGCCGAUGGACCAUCAAACUCUUGUUUCUGUGGGCACUUCUGAGGAUACUAUUAAAAUAAGUCA